AGAGUUUGAUCCUGGCUCAGGAUGAACGCUGGCGGCGUGCCUAAUACAUGCAAGUCGAGCGAACGGACGAGAAGCUUGCUUCUCUGAUGUUAGCGGCGGACGGGUGAGUAACACGUGGAUAACCUACCUAUAAGACUGGGAUAACUUCGGGAAACCGGAGCUAAUACCGGAUAAUAUUUUGAACCGCAUGGUUCAAAAGUGAAAGACGGUCUUGCUGUCACUUAUAGAUGGAUCCGCGCUGCAUUAGCUAGUUGGUAAGGUAACGGCUUACCAAGGCAACGAUGCAUAGCCGACCUGAGAGGGUGAUCGGCCACACUGGAACUGAGACACGGUCCAGACUCCUACGGGAGGCAGCAGUAGGGAAUCUUCCGCAAUGGGCGAAAGCCUGACGGAGCAACGCCGCGUGAGUGAUGAAGGUCUUCGGAUCGUAAAACUCUGUUAUUAGGGAAGAACAUAUGUGUAAGUAACUGUGCACAUCUUGACGGUACCUAAUCAGAAAGCCACGGCUAACUACGUGCCAGCAGCCGCGGUAAUACGUAGGUGGCAAGCGUUAUCCGGAAUUAUUGGGCGUAAAGCGCGCGUAGGCGGUUUUUUAAGUCUGAUGUGAAAGCCCACGGCUCAACCGUGGAGGGUCAUUGGAAACUGGAAAACUUGAGUGCAGAAGAGGAAAGUGGAAUUCCAUGUGUAGCGGUGAAAUGCGCAGAGAUAUGGAGGAACACCAGUGGCGAAGGCGACUUUCUGGUCUGUAACUGACGCUGAUGUGCGAAAGCGUGGGGAUCAAACAGGAUUAGAUACCCUGGUAGUCCACGCCGUAAACGAUGAGUGCUAAGUGUUAGGGGGUUUCCGCCCCUUAGUGCUGCAGCUAACGCAUUAAGCACUCCGCCUGGGGAGUACGACCGCAAGGUUGAAACUCAAAGGAAUUGACGGGGACCCGCACAAGCGGUGGAGCAUGUGGUUUAAUUCGAAGCAACGCGAAGAACCUUACCAAAUCUUGACAUCCUUUGACAACUCUAGAGAUAGAGCUUUCCCCUUCGGGGGACAAAGUGACAGGUGGUGCAUGGUUGUCGUCAGCUCGUGUCGUGAGAUGUUGGGUUAAGUCCCGCAACGAGCGCAACCCUUAAGCUUAGUUGCCAUCAUUAAGUUGGGCACUCUAAGUUGACUGCCGGUGACAAACCGGAGGAAGGUGGGGAUGACGUCAAAUCAUCAUGCCCCUUAUG
rnacentral:rRNA from 2 species